UUUUAAGUCUAACCUGCCCAAUGAUUAAUUGAAUGGCCGCAGUAAUUUGACUGUGCAAAGGUAGCAUAAUCAUUAGUUUUUUAAUUGAAAGCUGGUAUGAAUGGUUGGACGAGAAAAAUACUGUCUCAAAUUAAUUUUAAUCAGAAUUUUAUUUUUAAGUUAAAAAGCUUAGAUGUUUUUAAAAGACGAGAAGACCCUAUAGAGUUUUAUAUAUUUAUUAAUAGUAUUUAUUAGGUAAUUUUUAGGAUUUAUUGGUAAGUAUAUUUUAUUGGGGUGAUAGUAAAAUUUAAUUAACUUUUAUUAAUAUUUAACAUUAAUUAAUGAAUAAUUGAUCCAUAUUUUAUGAUUAUAAGAUUAAAUUACCUUAGGGAUAACAGCGUAAUUUUUUUUGAGAGUUCUUAUCGAAAGAAAAGAUUGCGACCUCGAUGUUGGAUUAAAGUUAACUUUUGGUGCAGGAGCUAAAAAGGGUUGGGUCUGUUCGACCUUUAAAAUUUUACAUGAUCUGAGUUUAAACCGGUGUAAGCCAGGUUGGUUUCUAUCUUUAAAUUGUUAGUAUAUUUUAGUACGAAAGGAAUUGGUAUAUAUAAUAUUUAUUUUAUUUUGAAUGUUAAUA
rnacentral:rRNA from 1 species